GAAAAUCCGUCGACUUUAAAAAUCGUGAGGGUUCAAUCCCCCUUUCCCCCCAAAAAAGCCUAUUUGACCCCU
rnacentral:tRNA from 1 species